rnacentral:sRNA from 1 species
GCCAGGCAUGGUGGCACUUGCCUGUAAUCCCAGCAACUCUGGAGGCUGAGGCAAUAGGUUCACAAGUUUGAGGCCAGCCUGGGAAACUUAGUAAGACUCUGUCUCAA